rnacentral:lncRNA from 1 species
GGUCACUGUUAACAUUUUUCUAGGAAGGCCAAUGUUAACUUCAAAUACCAGGAAUUUGUUGCAAUGUUUGCUUGAUAUGGAACGUUUGCAUGAUAAAGACACAACUGUAAUGACAAAGGGAUGUAGAAGAAAUUACUGGGGAAUGUCGCUGAUGUUGGAGAGCGAAGACAAUUCGUUGAUCCAGCAUGUGGCAGAGCGAGGACAACCGUUUCAGCUGAGUUGAUAAAGGCAGCUGAUUCUUCUGCUGGCCUGAGCGUGCGAGACCUCUUGUGGUCGGCUGUUGGCUCUUCCACAGGACUGGUAAAACAUUCACCCAUCUGUAUAAGCCUAGGACUUCUCCUAGGAGUGUCGGUAUGGUAGUUCUUAUGACAUUUUGCAUUCACACUCACUGACUUUGCGUCGCCACCUUCAGAAGUCUGAGCUUUCGGAGUGGUGGAAGUCAGGCCUACAACAGGUCAACGUUAACAUUUUUCAGGAAGGCCACUGCUAAACUUCUCAAAUACUAGAAAUUUGUUGCAGUGUUUGCUUGAUAUGGAUUGUUUGCAUGAUAAACACACAACUGUAGUGACAAAGGGGUAGAGAAGAACUUACUGAGGAGUGUCGUUGAUGUUGGAGAGCAAAAACAACUCGUUGAUCCAACAUGUGUCAUAGUGAGGACAGCCGUUUCAGCUGGGUCGGUAGAGGCAGCUGAUUCUUCUGCUGGCCCGAGCGUGUGAGACCUCUUGUGGUCGGCUGCUGGCUCUUCCACAGGACCGAUACAACAUUCACCCAUCUGUAUAAGCCUAGGACUUCUCCUAGGAGUGUCGGUAUGGUAGUUCUUCUUACGAUAUUUCCUUUUCACACUCACUGACUUGGCGGUUGCUUCCAAAGCAUGUCCGGACUCAGUAGUCUCUUGCCUUCCUUCAGUUGCUGCAACAGACACAGCAUGCACAUCUUGAGUUCCUUCACUAGCUGCAAGGAGAGGUGCUUCCUCCAUAAUCAUGGACGAUGCGGUAGCUUCCAAAGCAUGUACGGGCUCAGAAGCCUCUUGCCUUCCUUCACUAGCUGCAACAAACAUAGCCUGCCUAUCUUGACUUCCUUCACUGGCUGCAACAAACACGGCCUGCUCAUUCUGACUUCCUUCACCAGCUGCAACAAAC